GGAUGUGAGGGCGAUCUGGUUGUAACGUCUGUCACCCCAUUGACCGCCAGGGUUGAUUCGGCUGAUCUGGCUGGCCAGGCAGGUGGCCCCUUCCUCCCUCACCACACCAUGUGUGUCCCUCCUGAAGCUGCACACUCAGUUGAAGAGGACAACCUUCCCCGAUAGAGGAGGACCGUGUCUUUGGUCAAGGGUAUAGGAGUAGCUGCACUCCCCUGCUAGAACCUCCAAACAAGCUCUCAAAAUCAAGGUGUGGGCGGGGCCGCAUUCCUUUCUGAAGGCUCUAGGGGAGGAUCUGUUCUUUCUUAAUUGGGUUAUUGGCAGAAUUCAAUUCCUU
rnacentral:snRNA from 1 species